rnacentral:lncRNA from 1 species
UGGGUGUGUGUGGGUCCAUCAUUAUGAUAUUCCACAUGUCAUAAUCUUGUACUUGGAUAAAAAUCUUCAUUCUUACUUUCUAAUAGGUAUAAUUGAUCACAUUGAAAAGAGGGGGUCUAUUGGUUAAUUACCCCUCGACCAAUGAAGUCCCAAUUAGGGUUGCCAUAGUAUCUUUACCUCAAAAAGAUGAGUAACAAGUGAGCACCUGCUCUGAUACCACUUGUUGUCCAAAGAUGGCUACCCAAGAGG